GGGUCGAUUUUUUUUUUUCUUUUUUUGCCAUUUUCUAUUGCACCAGGCUCCGCGUGGGGCUGACCCAUGCUAGGAGUCUAUAAUUCCCAUGUGAAUAUUUCCUCAGUACACAGGGAUUUAUUCUUGGGAAAAUUACGCAAAAACCUACAUUUUAAGUAUACAUUUCACUUAUGAAAUCUUAAACUUUUCUUUUCACAAAUCAAGGAUUAAUUAUUUAAUUAAAAUUUAUUAAACCCACAUCUCACCACUUCUCUCUCCUUAUCACAAAAAUCACAUCUCACCAUUUCUCCCUCCAUCACAGAAAUAACCUCAAAAAUACCUGGCUCCGACAACAAAAACGAGAGAAAAAUUUACUCCAGCGGCCGCGUUUGGAAGGAAAAAAAUGUACUCCAACGGUCGAUCUGCUUUGGGGGUAAAAUCUUGGGGGGUGCGGUGGUGGUGGUACCGAUGGUGAUGUCGGUUGCAGUGAUGUUGGUGGUGUCUAACGAAAGGGUUUGGAGGCGAUCGAAGACCAAGAGAAAGGUUUGGAGGAGGGAACUGGAAGAGCCACCACCAGCAGCCCGUCUCCACCACCAACAGCAAAGUUAUUAUUAUUAAUUAUAGGGAUUAUUUAUAAGUUAGUUUUUAUCAAAUGAAAAAAAUUUGUAGAAUAUUUCAUUCUAGCAAAACGUUAACGAAGCUCAUCGGCCAAUGAGCGAGGUUUAAGGUCGACGAUCAAUGUAUGGCAAUAGGAUCCUCAUUUACAUAUUGUUCGAUCAUGUUGACCAAAAAGGGAUAAAUAUAUUUUGGGCACUCCAAAUUUAUGGUAUGUUUAACUUUAUUAAUCAAGUUAGCAUUUUCUGAUAAAUUUUAUUAGUAGUUUAUGUUUUAUAUGUUAAUUGUGACCUUUGUGACUAAGUCUGUGUUAAUAGUGAUUGGAUGUGCGAAGUCUGUCCGUAUUAAUUGUGAUUGAUUGUGACUAAGUCUAUCUUUAUUAUGACUAUUCGUGACUAGAUCUGUCUUACUUGUGACUGACCAAAUUAACAGUGGCCUGAUUACAUACAUUCGAAUUAGACUGAACUGGUCACAGACAGUCACUUUGAAGACAAACUGGUGUGGAAUGACAAUUUUUUUCAUCCCAUUAUUCUCUUAUCCUAAAAAAGGAAAGAAAGAAAAUGAACGAGAGCUACUUUAACAUCAACCAAUUCUAUUUAUAAUUCCAAUUUUGUGACCUAAAAUGUGUGAUUUGUAAUUAAAUUUGUAAUUGUGACCUAUAAUUUGUGUCUUCGGGAUUGAUAAAUAAAUUCUGAUCAAUUAUUUAAUUAUUUGUGAUCAAGUUUGUGUUAACUGUAAUCUAUUGUGACCAGGUCUGUUUUUACUGUGACUGUACGUGAUCAAGUUUGUAUUGACAAUGACGUGUAAUGAGACAUAUUUUAAAAAUGAUUGUUUGUGACAAACCUGAUUACAUAAAGUGUGUGACCAUUUAUAUGUUACUUGUGACCCUGUGUGACAAAAGUUUGCGUUAUCUUGGACUGGCUGUGACCAAUAAUUUGUUGAAUGUGACAUGUUAUUUGAUUAUGACCUGUUAUCACAAUUAUUAUCAAAAAAUUUAUUUGACCAGAAACUAAUCUAAAUUAAAGACUUAGGUUACAAUCAAUCGUGAUAAUAUUUUAUGGGUGAAUUCAUGAAAUUGUGGCUAAAUGAAUUCGAUUAUUGAAAUUUUGAGAUUUGGAUUCAUCAAUUGUGGGAAAAUACAGGUGAAGCUGAUGAAGGUAAGAGAAUAGUUGAAAAGAUAAUUGAUUAAAAAUGUAUGUUUAUUUUAAAGAUUCUCUAACGAAUAAAUUUAAAUUUUCUCCCAAAAUUCUCCCCUUUGCCCUCUCUCUAGAGUUUCCUCUUUCUCUGUUCUCCAGAUUUUUUAACGAUUAUAAAUUUUAAUUUUUUACCCAGAACUCUCUCUCUCUCUCUCUCUCUCUCUCUCUUUCUCUCUUCCCCCUGCUUAUGGCUUUACUCGUCUCUCUUCUCUGUAGGUUUGUACGCCAUCGUGAAGGAUUUCAUUUUGAAUCCAUGGAGACGACGCUUUUUAUGGAGGUUUAGAGGUAAUUGUGAAGUAUGUUAGAUGGAAUCAAUGAUGAAAAUUUAAACUGGAGUAUGAUUGAAGGGCUUAGGUGAAAAAAGACCGACAAAAGACGAUGGGGAAGUGUUGAAAGAAGCCAAGAAGAUUAGAAGCACGGGUUUGGUUGUGAAUGUAAAGGUGGAGUGUGUGUAUUAUGAUUUAAUACCUGAUUUAUGAAACUUUUUAACAAGUUUGAUAAAUAUGAAAUUGUAUUCUUAAUGUAUUGUAAUUAUGUAUUUUUCCCUUUAUUCUUGUUUAAUACUUUUUUCAUAUUUUCCUUUUUCAGGAGUCGCACAUUUUAUUUUUUUUUAAAUGAAG
rnacentral:lncRNA from 1 species